AGUGAACGCUGGCGGUAGGCCUAACACAUGCAAGUCGAACGGCAGCACAGUAAGAGCUUGCUCUUACGGGUGGCGAGUGGCGGACGGGUGAGGAAUACAUCGGAAUCUACUUUUUCGUGGGGGAUAACGUAGGGAAACUUACGCUAAUACCGCAUACGACCUACGGGUGAAAGCAGGGGAUCUUCGGACCUUGCGCGAUUGAAUGAGCCGAUGUCGGAUUAGCUAGUUGGCGGGGUAAAGGCCCACCAAGGCGACGAUCCGUAGCUGGUCUGAGAGGAUGAUCAGCCACAGUGGAACGGAGAAACGGUCCAGACUCCGACGGAAGGACGCAGUGGGGAAUAUUGGAAAAUGGGCGCAAGCCUGAUCCAGCAAUACCGCGUGGGUUAAGAAGGCAUUCGGGUUGUAAAGCCCUUUUGUUGGGAAAGAAAAGCAGCAGGUUAAUACCACGCUGUUCUGACGGUACCCAAAGAAUAAGCACCGGCUAACUUCGUG
rnacentral:rRNA from 1 species